AGCAGCCGCGGUAAUUCCAGCUCCAAUAGCGUAUAUUAAAGUUGUUGCAGUUAAAAAGCUCGUAGUUGAAUUUCGGGAUUGGCGCAUCGGUCGUGCCUCACGGGGUAUGAACUGGUGCAGUCAAUUUCUCACCUUCUGGAGAACCGCGAUGUCCUUAAUUGGAUGCCGCGGGGAGCCAGGACCUUUACUUUGAAAAAUUAGAGUGUUUAAAGCAGGCAUUUUUGCUUGAAUACAUUAGCAUGGAAUAAUAAAAUAGGACGGCAUGGUUCUAUUUUGUUGGUUUCUAGGACCACCGUAAUGAUUAAUAGGGAUAGUUGGGGGCAUUAGUAUUCAAUUGUCAGAGGUGAAAUUCUUGGAUUUAUUGAAGACUAACUACU
rnacentral:rRNA from 1 species